rnacentral:rRNA from 1 species
UACGUAGGGGGCAAGCGUUGUCCGGAUUUAUUGGGCGUAAAGAGCGUGUAGGCGGCCAGAUAGGUCCGUUGUGAAAACUCGAGGCUCAACCUCGAGACGCCGACGGAAACCAUCUGGCUAGAGUCCGGAAGAGGAGAGUGGAAUUCCUGGUGUAGCGGUGAAAUGCGCAGAUAUCAGGAAGAACACCCGUGGCUAAGGCGGCUCUCUAGUACGGUACUGACGCUGAGACGCGAAAGCGUGGGGAGCGAACAGG